CAGUGUGCGAUCCCCUUCAGAGUGGUGAAGCCAUUUUGUUAUGUCAUGUGAGAAGAAAAGCAUGAAACAGGAAAUGAUGUCGCAGAGAAUGACCCAUGUUAACAUUUAUGACUUCGUAUCAACAUGGGUGCAGGAACCAGAUGGUGAGGUGAAAACCUGAACCAGUGGCUUUUGGCUCUGGAUGCGGUAUAGAGGAACCAGAGGAAGAUGAAGUGAACUUUGAUGUCUCAUUCAGCGCUUCGUUUGAUGUCACUCAGUUAUCCUGGAUGAAAGAUGGAUUCGGUGUUACCGGAGCCGGUCAGAUCCAGCACCGUUCCUGCUUGGUAUCGGACUCCAAUGCUACGUGUUGCUGAGUGAUGAAGACAAACUACAGCCGGUGCUAUCCAGACAUCACUUCAGACUUUUGACUUCAGAGGAUGAACUGAUUCCAACUGUAAGACAUCAGAUACUUUAUAUUCCACUGUCUGAACCUUGGAUUUAGGAUGCACCAAACCUCACCGAAAUGACCUGCCGGUUGAACUGUGAUGCACCUCAUUGAUCUCUGCCUGCAUCGCAUUUGUCUAUUGAUGACUAUACUUUUGAAGUGAAUACAUGGACUCAUUUACUUGCCAACAAAAGCCUUCAUUAGCCAACUAAUAAAAGGACAAUGCAUCAAUGUGAACUCCUGCUGUUUAUCCAGGAUGGACUUAAAAGACAUUAGUCAUUAAUCUUAAAGUUCAUAAAUAUUAAAUUAUUAUUAUAUUUUUUUUAAACACUGGACCUGAACACUUUCUUAAUGCACAUAUUUUAAACCAUGGCUUGCUUUGCACAUAAAUAACUAAUAUUGGCAUUAUAUUCAUGUUGUUUAGCCAGAGAGGAAUCGGCCCCCACAGUGAGCUUGGUUUCUCCCAAGGUUAUUUUUCAUCAUUAACCAACAUCUUAUGGAGUUUUGAGUUGCCUUCAGUUUGCUCAAAGGGGUCCUAAAUACAAUAAUUAGUAAAUUGUGUAUACAAAUUAAACAUCAUAUUUAAUCAAACUACACAAUGAUGACUAAGACUGUAUAGAUUUUAGUUUCAUUUCCUAUAAAGCUGCUUUGAAACAAUAUAUGUUGUAAAAAGUGCUAUACAAAUAAAUAUGACUUGUUCUAUAAUUCAAAUCUUUUGCAUUUAAAAGGUUCU